CUGGAGAGCUGGCUGUGGUGACAGUUCAGUGCCGAAGGCAGCAGGCAAAGACACUUAACGAGAGACCAGACAAAUAAUCUGCAGAUACCAUGGAUUCCAUCCAUCUGAACCCUCAUGCUGCACAAUUACUUCACGUGGCAUGUGAUUGGUCAGCUACCAGUUUCUGAGAGAGUAAACACCCAGCGCAUGUGAUCCACUGCGCUUGUAGAUUUCUUCAUCCGCCCCUCCUGCACUGCACUGGGCUGGCCAGAUCUACCUACAACGUUACUGGAUCCUCAGCUGAUGCGCUAUCCUUGCACUAUUGCACUGCUAAUAUGUUAUUGCAGGUAUAACUUGCUGUAAUCCUGACUGGCUGCAUCCUGGUUCAUAUUGUAGUUGUGUAGUAUAAUUUGCACUUACUGUAAACUCUACUGAAUUUAAAUAUAAUUUUUUGCAUUGUCACCCUGUACUGUCCUGUAACACAUGUAAGUCACCUUGAAUAAAACCAUCUGUCAAAUAAAUAAAUGCAUAAUAAUAAUAAUAAUAAUAAUAAUAAUAAUAAUAAUAAUAAUAAUAAUAAUAAUAAUACCUUAGCUAACCCCACUGUAUACCCCCUUGUUGCUCAUGAAGUGACUUUAGAAACAUUAACCGAGCCUUGACAAAAACCUUGUGUUGUAAUGCUUGACGCUGAAUUGAAUACGUUUAUUUUAGUAUUCCUAAAUAUAACCCUGUUGAGUGUUUAAGGUAUGUCAUACAGCGAGAGGUUAAAAGAAACCGGUGUCUUCUCUUUUUCUUAAAUAUCACAGGACAGGAUGGGACAGGACAUUUUUUGACAAGACGGGAAGGGAUGGGAUUGCAAAAAACAAACGUACAGAACAGUACGGGAUGGGAAAAGAUCUGGUGGGACAGGAUGGGAACAAAAAUUACAUUGAAACGUUUUUCACGAGAUGGGAUGGGAUGGGACAGGAAAAUGUCUGAUGGGGCAGGAUGGGACGGAGCUCAAGUUUGACUCUGAUGCAAAACACAGAGACAGCAGAGACAGCAGAGACAGCACUGCGUUGCGUCUCUAUACUUUAUUUAACCUUCAGAAUGUUAAAUGAUCACAAUAAUUAUAACCAAUUAUCCGCAAGGAUGAUGUCACCACUUCAACUGGCCAUGCAGUGAUUUCUGAAUAAUCAUAGUUAUAUUUAACAGAAUAUAGCAGCAUAUUUAUUAAAAAAUACAGUAAUAUAUCAUUUGGUAUUCUUGUGUAUAACGUAGCUGCUCUGAGUCAGGCCUCCCAGAAUUCCCAAUAAUAACCCCAGAAGGCUAUAGUUGAUUUCUUCAAGGAUGUGAGCGCAGAUAAUAACCCAAUUAAUUCCCAGUUACCAGAAACGAGAUGCAAGAUAUAAUGUUAACAGUGGUGAUUAUACUGGAAAAUUGUUGGACUAGCGCUAUUCCGGUAAUUUUCAAAGAAUUCUCCUUUAAAAACAUUCAGUGUUCUUAGGAACAGUGUCACAGUAUUGCCAAAUUAAUUGUUUUAUCCUCUAUUACUGUAAAAGGACUGCUGUUCAGAAAACUAUAUCCUGAUUUGGUCUGUAACCAUUUUACAUUUUUUAAGCUUAAGCUUUUUCCUGAACCUCUAUUGGAAGCGUUGGCUGUUAUCAGCACGAGAUGAGACAUAAAAAAAAAGAUUUGGUUGAGAUUCUUGACCUUUGAGAUAAAAAAAAAACGCCACUGACCUCAUAAUUGCUCCAGUAACAGUUUCUAUAUAUAGAAGGGAUUGGGAUCUGAGCUUGUGUUUCUCACAGAGUGAAACCACAAGAGACUGUCCUCCGCUCCCAGCGACACACAGAGGCACAACAUGAUGCCAGCGCAGGAAAUGCAUUGAGGAUUGUAAUUAAAAUAAAUAAAUAAAUAAAUGAAAAUAAAAUAAAUAGAUAAACAAACCACUUAAAACAUUUCUCUCAAAUGAAACUGAAUCAUAGCGCUGUAUUUAAUACCAUCAUUGUAUUCAAAUGGUGGCCCAACCCACUAUUUGCUGGGGGUCCUAAUAAAAUGAAACAGACUCCUUGAGGUGCAUGAAGUGGCUGUUUCUAUUGUGAUGUCAUUGUUGCGUUAUGGGUUGCAUCACCUGGGAAAUAAAAAGCUGACGUCACUGGCCAAGCAUUACGUGGGCUUGUAAUUCCCUAAACUAUUAAUUAUGCACUUCCGACACUGGCAUCAGUAUCUGCUUUUAAUCUAUUACCUUAUCGUACGAAGAGAGAGUAACGAUUCGCUUGCAUUACAUUCUUCACCAUUUUCAAAAGACCAGAACACAGUGCUUCUCUUUAUCACAGGAGCCUUUGCUUUUUAAGUGUCGGGAUUCAUUGCCAAGUAGGGUGUGGCUCCUUCUCAGAGGUUCGAAGCAGAGUCUCGACUUCUGCUAGCAUGCCAGUCAUUUCGUAGUAAGCAGAAAAAUAUAUAUUUUUGGUUUUAUAAGCUCCCCCCCC